rnacentral:ncRNA from 2 species
AUACUUGAUAAUAUGGAUCGAGAGUUUCUACCCGGCAACCUUAAAUUGCUGGACUAUGGGGAAAACUAAUGAAUAU